rnacentral:misc_RNA from 1 species
AACGCACAUUGCGCCCCCUGGCAUUCCGGGGGGCAUGCCUGUCCGAGCGUCAUUGCUGCCCAUCAAGCCCGGCUUGUGUGUUGGGUCGUCGUCCCCCCCGGGGGACGGGCCCGAAAGGCAGCGGCGGCACCGUGUCCGGUCCUCGAGCGUAUGGGGCUUUGUCACCCGCUCGAUUUAGGGCCGGCCGGGCGCCAGCCGACGUCCAACCAUUUUUCUUCAGGUUGACCUCGGAUCAGGUAGGGAUACCCGCUGAACUUAA